AGUAAUAGUUGCAGUGACGUAGUCACAGAUAAGGACGGAGGGGAGUUACAAACGGGCUUGGAAAGGAUAAUAGAACUUGAAAAUUGAGCGCUCUAUAUAUCACAUAACUGUAAUCUAAUAUAGGGGAUAGGGUUAUAAUGUUAACUCAAAAUACCAGGCAAGAGUGUUGCCAUUUAUUAGUCUAACCGUCGCCGUGCAAGGCUGCCUAAAGCGUAGGUUACUACUUCAUUCAUGCUAUGAUUCAGUAGAAGGUAAUAUCCUCAGAGGGACGGAAAACUGAGAAAAAAUGGAAUGUAUUUUAGGACAACCGACCGCUCGAAGGGCUUUAGCGCCAAAGAAAGGUUCCUUGCUGCACAGGAGUACCAGCUCUGACUUUUGGAUUCAAGUCCUGGUGUGGGCACCUGAGCUCAGGACCUUGUGACUCAGAAACAACACUGCUCCCCUCCGAAGAUUUGAAGACCUUCAACAAACCAUUGCUCGUCGAUUCAAGCUGUUCAGCUUCUUCAAAGGGUCACUUGAUGUUUGAAGAGGUUCCUGAAAAUGUGAUCUCGGAGCCAACACAUCUCAAACCAAUGGUAAUCCUGCAUCAAACAAACGCCGAAAACGACAGUUCUUCAAAAAAAAAAUCCCAAGACAGCAAGUUUAAGGCAUUUCGAUAGUGUUUGCUCCGUCAAACCGUCGUCCUAACUGGAAGGGCAUUUAAGUGUGCAGCAAGUAACAAACUAUUUCCAAUUAAAUUUCUUUAAAGACUAAUUAUUUCAUAUUAAUUUGCAGUAUAGGCAUGUAUGCUUA